rnacentral:rRNA from 1 species
CGGGGUGGAGUAAUGUCUGGGAAACUGCCUGAUGGAGGGGGAUAACUACUGGAAACGGUAGCUAAUACCGCAUAACGUCUUCGGACCAAAGUGGGGGACCUUCGGGCCUCACGCCAUCGGAUGUGCCCAGAUGGGAUUAGCUAGUAGGUGGGGUAAUGGCUCACCUAGGCGACGAUCCCUAGCUGGUCUGAGAGGAUGACCAGCCACACUGGAACUGAGACACGGUCCAG